rnacentral:rRNA from 1 species
GUACACGCUGUGACUAGCAUAUCAAUAAGCGGAGGAAAAGAAACUAACAAGGAUUCCCCUAGUAACGGCGAGUGAAGCGGGAAGAGCUCAAAUUUGAAAUCUUAAAGGGUUUCCCUUUACGAAUUGUAGUUUAAAGAAGUGUUUUCUGUUGAGGUUUUGGUAAAAGUUCUUUGGAAUAGGACAUCAUAGAGGGUGAGAAUCCCGUAUUUGACCAUUACUUUUCAACUGUGUGAUACACUUUCAAAGAGUCGGAUUGUUUGGGAAUGCAGUCCAAAAUGGGUGGUAAAUUUCAUCUAAAGCUAAAUAUUGGCGAGAGACCGAUAGCGAACAAGUACCGUGAGGGAAAGAUGAAAAGAACUUUGAAAAGAGAGUUAAACAGUACGUGAAAUUGUCAAAAGGGAAGCGUUUGACACCAGUGUUGUUUUUCUGAAAAUCAAUUAAAGAACUGUUUAUGCUAAGUUGUUUAGACUUUAUCAGCUAUCUGCUUAGUUUUGAGCUUUUCUUUAAUGCACUUUUCAGUUAACAAGUCAACAUCAAUUUCUUUUGCUGUAAAAAGUCAUUGAGGAAGGUGGACUUGAGAUUCGUCUUAAGUGUUUAUAGCCUCUUGCCUAUGCAGUCGGAGAGAUUGAGGUCUGCAGCGUAGAUCCUUCGGGGCUAAAUGCAUUUGUGCUAAGUUAUAGCAUUUUAUAGACAACUUGUUGACUAUGAUUUGUCUUGUAGCUUACUCGCUUAUGUUAUUUUACCUACGCUUAGGAUGUUGACGCAUGAGAUAUACGC